UAAAUAAAUAAAUAAAUAAGAAUAAAAAGGGGAAAAAAGAAGAAAAAAAGAAAAUGAAAAAAAAAAAAAAAAAACUUUCUACAGCAUUUUUUGGAAUGUCUAUUUCGUGCAUUUCUUAUGUAAUACAACAAUGGCUUUAAAUGAUUUUUUGUCCGUAAUUUCCCAGCCAAAUUUGAUGUGCAUAUUUAAAGUUUAAUUAAAGGCUUUUUAUUUGGCAAAUGUUUAUGUAAAAGGACCGUAGACAUCAACUUAAUAUCAAUAGCAUUAGGGAAUCAAACAUGCACAUUCAAUUUAAAUAAAUAUUUAAAAUGCUCAGAAGCAAUAAUAAAGUUAUCAAUAGUCCAUUUUUACAUGCGUGACAGUGCAGGUAAACUUCAGACUUUCUGAGGAUAUUGCAUGAGGUGUUGGUCACACAAUUUGGCUGCAAUAUAAUGCUUUGCUGCAGGAACUGUGUAAUGUUGAUGAGCUGUUUGAAUAUGAAAAAUUGUCUGCUGCACCUGAUCCAGGCUGGCCAGAUUGCUUUAUUUGUGUUUAGGUCCUCCCUGAAUACCCACAUCCAAAUACUGGAACACGCCGCACAGCACGACAGCUUUGAUGGUGAAUCACACGGUUAUAUUUAGCUGAUAUUACAUUCAAAUAUUUUAAGUUCAGUCUAAAUUUGAAUGCGCUCAAAGCCUAUUGGAACUUGAAUUAGCCUCAAAUGCCAUUUUGUCACAUUUAUAUUUUUUAAUCUUUAAAACAAGAACACCAUAUAUUACCAUUCAAAAGUUUCAGUAAGAUUUUAUUUGAAAGCAAUUAAUACUUUUAUUCAGUAAGCAUUUAUUAAAUUGAUCCAAAGUGACAGUAAAGACAUUUAAGGAUUCAAAUAAAUGCUGUUCUUUAGAAUUUUCUAUUCAUAGACAUUACUAUGUCAUGUCUUGUCAGGUUUAGGAGGAGACCAGGGUGUUUUAAACACUUUCUUCAGUGACUGAAAAGUGAAAGAUAUCAAAAAGCAUUUACCAUUUGUGUACAACCUCACAGUAGGUGCUGUUUACACACAUCUGCCAGCAUUUCAGAAGUAAGCUUUCAUGCAAACUUUUAUUAUGUAUACCAGUUAUUCCUGAUGUUAUGUAUUUGUGUACUGUUUAGUAACUAAUCACAUUAAACACAUAUACAGUACAUGUAUGAGAGAUGCAUUCUGGUUUUGUACAGGUAUGGCCACCAUGCAAAAAAUUGUCCAUUUUUUGGGUGGGAUCAAGCCCUGGCACCUUAAAUGACUUUCAUAUGACCCACAAGCUGUCAAUGAGUCAUCUUUUAGGGAUUCCAUCAGAACUUUCCGCAAUUUUUACAUUUAUGGUGGGUGGAGUACUACUGUCAAAGACAGCUACAAGUUAAAAGGGAUGAAAAGAAUGAAGACUAUAAGACUGCACUCACAUCAGAUAUCUGGUUUUUAUUUUGUAAAUAGUAAUGAUAUCUACAUGGCCCAUUUGACUGUUCUCAUUAAGAAAGAUGUAAAUGGCUUUGAACCACAUGAGGGUGAGUAAAUGAUGACUGAAUUUUCCUUUUUGGGUAAACUCUCAUUUUAACUCACCAUUAGCAUAGUUAUCUAAUUUAAUGGACCUAUUGUAUUUAAACUGCCAGUCAUCUCUAAUCGUUCUUUUGGUUUGUAGUCAGUGCAGAAUUUGGUUUCUCCACAGACACAUCAGACUCCAUCACAAAGCCAAAAGAGCAGCACUGGAGCCCACCACAGAGAGAUGAUGACACCCUCUCCACCUCUCCAAGAUCUGACUUUGGACUCACUGACAAUCUGCUCAUCUCAAAUAAUAUUGUCUUUGAUGUCUUUUCUGGAGGGGAGAUUGGAGAGACCCCUGUAGUCAGCCCUCCAUCUGAGCAAGAGAGUGAGUGCACAGAACCAGAGACUGCUGAUGAUUCUGCCGCUGCCACUGGAGAAGCUGCAGCUGCUGAGACAGUGGUGGACGACUCAGAGCAUCAGCACAUGUGGGAGGAAGGUCAUGUUGAUUAUAUUGGCAAAGACGCUUUUAACAGCAUCAAGAGGAAACUUGACCUGUUUCUUGAUUCAUUUUGUGUGGAUGUGCUGGAUGUGUUUAUGAGAUUAUGUAAAACACUGUCAAUAUAUAGUUCCGUUUAUACUGUAUGUCCAUCAUCAUCUCAACUGUUAUAUUUUCAUCCCCUCAUAUAUAGCUGUUUUUUUCUACCUCUAUUUGCCAUAAUCACUGGAUCAUAUCAAAAAUACUAUGAAAAAUGUCUCAUAUACAAAUGUAACUUACGUUAAACUGAAUCUUAAUUCAGUUUCUGUAUUAUAAGCAUAUGUGAUAAGACCUGUCUAUAUGAUUUAGCCUUUGCUGUGAUCAUUUGUUUGCAGUUUUCUUAAAGCAUUGAUUGUAAAUAUUCUCUACAGCUUGUUAGGGGAGACAUUAUGAAUUACCAUUUCAAAUCAAUUAAUAAAUUAUUAUUAAAUCAUGAGAAAAGAACCAAGAGCAUGAUUUAGUAUUAAUUGUCAAUGCCUAACAAAAAUCAUGUAACAAAUCCUUCAACCAAGAGGAAAUGUGCCUAACAAACUAUGGUCUUCAACACAUCUUUCUUUGCAGCGCCCUACAGCAAAAUUGUCCUAUUUUUGCCACUAGAGGUCAGGCUAUAAACACUCUCUAGCUUUUAAACCCCCACAAAUUCCACUGGUAGAGCAUAACAGUCUGAGGCAAAAUUGUCAUCUAUCAAAAGUUGAUAAAUCAUAAAGGUAUUAUUCCUCUGAGUUUUAUUAAACACAUUUAUCUCUCUCCAGAGAUGCUUAACACAACCCUGACUCCAAAUCUUAUCUGCCAGACACCACAAACUUUUAUGAAGCAAACUUAGUGGCCAGACAAAGUCAAAGCCAGCAUGUUCUUUGAUGGAAACUUAUUUUUUAAACCCUUGUUUCCCAUGUUUUAAUAUUAGAUUUAUGUAUUACCCCCUGGAUCUGCCUUGUUAACAUGACAGCUCUUUGAAGUUAUUAACUAUUUAUGUUACUCAAUCAAUUAGAGAGAAUCUUU